rnacentral:rRNA from 1 species
UACGGAGGAUGCGAGCGUUAUCCGGAUUUAUUGGGUUUAAAGGGUGCGCAGGCGGCGUGUCAAGCAAGCGGUAAAAUAGCGGGGCUCAACCCCGUCGUGCCGUUGAAACUGGCGUUCUUGAGUGAGCGAGAAGUAUGCGGAAUGCGUGGUGUAGCGGUGAAAUGCAUAGAUAUCACGCAGAACUCCGAUUGCGAAGGCAGCAUACCGGCGCCCGACUGACGCUGAGGCACGAAAGCGUGGGUAUCGAACAGG